CCUACGGGUGGCAGCAGUGAGGAAUAUUGGUCAAUGGGCGCUAGCCUGAACCAGCCAAGUAGCGUGAAGGAUGACUGCCCUAUGGGUUGUAAACUUCUUUUAUAUGGGAAUAAAGUGCAGUACGUAUACUGCUUUGCAUGUACCUUAUGAAUAAGGAUUGGCUAACUCCGUGCCAGCAGCCGCGGUAAUACGGAGGAUCCGAGCGUUAUCCGGAUUUAUUGGGUUUAAAGGGAGCGUAGGCGGGUUGUUAAGUCAGUGGUGAAAGUUCGCGGCUCAACCGUAGAAUUGCAGUGGAUACUGGCUUGCUUGAGAACAGUAGAGGUAGGCGGAAUUCGUGGUGUAGCGGUGAAAUGCUUAGAUAUUACGCAGAACUCCGAUUGCGAAGGCAGCAUGCUGGACUGUAACUGACGCUGAUGCUCGAAAGUGUGGGUAUCGAACAGGAUUAGAUACCCGAGUAGUC
rnacentral:rRNA from 1 species